CCGGAACCGUUGCUGAGGGAUGGUCAUUUGAUGACCCGAAUGAUAGAUCGAUAUACAGAGAUCCAAUCUUCGUAUAUUCAUGAAAUGAGUCAAGUUCACUUGAUGGAGCAUCUAUGGGUGGUGAAAGGCAAUGAAGAAGAAUGAUGGAGCAUAGAUGCUUUGGUUAUGUCUUAUUGAGUUAUGGUUUGGUUGUGUUAUAUUUUUAUUUAUUAUGCUUUGGUUGUGGUUUGUUAUUAUUAUUGUGCCUUGUUUGUAGUUUUUUUUUUUUUUUUUUUUGUUUUGUUUGAAGUAUGGAAUAUGUUGAAUAAAAAGGUAAUUUAUUGAAAGCUUUGUUUAUUAAAUAACGAAAUCUAAUACAAGUCAUUACGAAUUACUACUACUAAAAUAAAAUACAUGAAUUACAACAACUUUAAUAGAAAACAUGAAAAAUACAAAUACAUAAAAGGUAGGCUAACUAAUUUAAUGGUUUCCAUCAUUUAACCAAUCCGUGUUGCUAGGCCCAUCAUCCCGGAAAAGUCUUCUUCUCAUAACAUCCCUUCGUUCUAGCUUCCAAAAUUAUUUUGUUUCAGGGGACAUAUGACUUGUAUCCAUGGCCAUGGUUUCCCGAUCCGUCUUGUCCAUAUCUUUUUUGCGCAAAUACUCCCUUUCUCGUGCAUACUCAGCUUGAAGGGUCAAUUCGUUAUCUUGGCGUUUCUGCUCCAUUUCAAUUCUUAGGCCGUUUUGCCUUGUAAUUUCCUCCAAAAACUUUGAAUUAUUAUUGCUUGAAUUACCCACUUUCUUUGCCUUCGCGGCCUUUCAGCCAAUGGGCCUCGGCUCCUUUUCCAUGGAUGAGUCUUGACUCAUAGGAGAAUCAAGAGGUGAAUCCGAUGUCAUUGAAUCACGGAGUGGCGUCUCGUUUAACACAACGGCGGGACCCAUCGGAAUAAUUAUGAAGCGUUUGCAAUAUUUCAC
rnacentral:lncRNA from 1 species